UUUUCAGAUUUUUAAAAUUCAAGCUGACCUGGGACAAGUCCUUGGAAAAUCGAUUCCAUUUAAGUUAGAAAUUCAUUUGGUACCCGGGUCGAAAGAUGAAAAAUGUAAUCUUCAAGAAAAGUUGUAUAUUAAUUCAUCAUUCCUGCAUAACAACAAGCAAUGAGCCGAGAUGGAGAAUGUUCCAGUCGACAAAAAAAAAUUGGUGAGUUUGAAAAUUCAAAUUUCUAUUAUUAACAUCUAAUUUUAAGUUAUUCUGUUUAGUCUACCAAUAGAUUUAGUAUUUAAAUUAGAUUUAAAAGCAAACUAGAUAUAUUGCCUUAUUUCGUGAUCGUUAUGAUCAUAAUGUUUUCCAUUAGAAACUAAACUAUUUUGCCAGGAAUAGUUUGUGUUGUGAGAAGUAAUUCACGUGUUUCUACCAGAAACGCUUGUUGGAUACUCGUCGCAGCUUUGCUCCCAGACAACUAAAAUUGCCAAAUUUUAGUCAGCGCUUAGAUGACUAAUAAUUCCUAACCCUGAGUGCAUGGUUCCAAAGGGUGCUAUGACGGAAUUGCAUCUAUGACUAGCUUCUGACGAUCACAACGUGGUCAUAAACGAAAAUUAAUAGACUUAGUCUAGUUGAGCACUCGGCGAACUACUCGUUAACGGGCAAAAUAUCACAACUGUUUAUUGUUCCACCACACAAAUGAACUUUCCAGGUCGUAGGUUUCCACUAAAAGAAAACUGUUAGAUAGAAUCAAGGCAAAAAUAUCAGUAACAAAAUGUUUUGUAUAGAAAAGUAUCUACUAACUCAUUUAUACAAAAUAAAGAAAAUAACAUAGGCUUUAUCAUUUUGGUUAGAGCUAGGAGUAGGUAUAAUCGUUGGGACUAGAACCACCAAAGAUGUUGAAACUAUUGCUUCAAAUCUUUGGCGUGAAAAACCCCCAACGAUUUCCCUUGAAGGUCUUCAACCUCAUAUAGGCUAUUACCAAUAGGUCUGACAAUUCGGCAUUUUAAAAAUUUCUUGGCUAGUUUAGCAAUAAAAUUAUUUUUGAUUUUGCUUUGCUGAAAGUUGCGGCGGUAAACCUCUUGACCUGGUACAAACUUGACUUGACGGCAACGAGUAUUGUAUGUCUUCUCGUUUUUUAAAUAUGCUUUAUGCAAAUUCUCACGAAUUUUCUGCCGUAUUAAAUCCAUUUUAACGGGUUUCGGCAAGACAAUAGAUUCAGGAUCAUGCAGAAUUUGUAGCUUCUUUGCAAGAUGGUAUACACUUCCAUGCGAAAUCAUGUUCAUGCCAAAAAGUGCGAAGUAUGGUGUAACUCCAAUCGACGUUUGUACUGACGACCUUAACGAAAAUUCUAUUUCUGACAGGUAUUUGUCCCACUCAGUAUGAUCUUGUAGAUAUGAACGAAUUGCGGAUAGAAUUAACUGGUUUACGCGCUCUGAGGCGUUUGCCUGUGGUGAGUGGGUAGCGGUUUUAACAUGCUUAACGCCAAAGUUAUCGACCAUGUCUUGGAACUCUUUACUAACGAACUGUUUCCGUUGUCUGACACAAUUACUUCCGGGGUACCAAAUUUGUGGAAUACUUCGGAUAUUAGGAAUCUUAUUACAUUUUUAGCAUUUGCCUUAGCCAUAGCUUUUAAUAGCACAAACUUCGUAAGGUGGUCCAGAACGAUGAAUAUGAAUGAAUUCCCGUUUUUGGACCGCGGAUACGGACCUAGAAAAUCAAUGAAGAUUUUCUGGAACGGGCGCUCCAUUUGAGAUUCCGCUCCCAUGGGUGGUCGUAAAGUUGAAUUGGCGGGUUUUGUCUCUCGACAGAUUUGGCAAUUGGCAACAAACGUCCGAACCUGUAUAUUUUGGUUUGGCCAGUAGAAGUAUUCUUUGACCCUUCGGAGCGUUUUUCCGAAACCUCCAUGUGCUGCUUGAGGUGGAUUAUGGCACUUGGCAAUUAUGUCUUGGGUUAAUUCGAACGGAAUCCAAAGUUUCCAAGCGAAGUCCUCGUUUAUCGGGACACCACGUAAGGCAAAACUCGUUUGUAGACCAAAUCGUCUACUACCUUCAAAUCUGGUAAACGUUCUGUAUUUUCCUGGAUUUUGGCGAUUAAUUCCAGGUAACUUUGUUCUUUAAAAUAUUUUGACUGCAAAUCUAUUAUAUUAUUUACUUCCGCAGAUAUUUCCUCCAUAUCAUAUCUCGAUAAGGUGUCGGGUACUAUGUUUUUGGAUCCGGGCCGAUGUUCAAUAGAAAACGAAAAGGCUUGGAGGUGUAAACUCCACCGAGCUAGUCUGCCACUGAGGUCUUUGUGGGACAUCAGCCAUUUGAGGCUACUGUGGUCAGUGAUGACAGUAAACGGCAACAGUUCAAUGUAAGGCCGGAAUUUCUUAAUGGCCAUUACUACGGCCAAGCACUCUCUCUUGGUGACCGAAUAGUUCUUCUGGGCACUGGUCAAUUUGUGAGAGAAGAAAGCUACUGGAUGUUCGCCGUCAUUUUCGUCCUUAUGGAACAGAACUGCUCCCAAACCUAUGUCCGAUGCGUCGCAUUGGACAUAAAAGUGUCUGUUGAAAUCAGGAUGCAUAAGCACUGGUGAUGUUGUGAGGGCGGACUUCAGCUUAUCGAAGGCUUCCUUAGCUUCGUCCGGAAAGUCGAAACCUUUUCCUUUCUUAAGGGUGUUAAAAAUAGGUGUUGAUAUGGUAGCGUAGUCGGGGAUGAAGCGCCUAUACCAACCCGUAGCUCCCAUGAAGCUUCGGACCUGCUUGGCGGUUUUUGGGUACUUCAACUCUUCGAAGCAAAAUUUCGACUUCCCUAGGUUGAUGGUCAGACCCGCCGAAUCCAGACAAUGCGCUACCCGAUCCAGCAACUCCAGGUGAGUCUCAAAGUCUGGAGAUACGAUCAAAAGAUCAUCUAGAUAGACGAAAACUCUAUCACGAAGUGCUGAAGGGAUCACUUUGUCCAUUAGACGACAUAACAUUUGGGCUGCGUUACACAACCCAAAAGGCAUGACCGUAAAAUGGUACAGUGGUCGCCCCGGCACCGUGAAUGCAGUCUUCUCCCUACUAGAUGCAUCUAAUGGUAUCUGCCAGAAUGCGUCUUUGAGAUCCACGCUGGAUAUGAAGAACGUAUCCCCUAACCGACUGAGCAGACCUUCGAUGUGCGGCAGCGGAUAGGCGUCCUUGACCGUGAGGGCAUUUAGCUUACGAGCGUCUAGACACAACCGGUUCUUCUCGCCCCUACGGACGAGAGUAACCGGAUGGCUCCAAGGACUCUCGCUCUACUCUAUGACCCCAGGAUCAAGCAUCCUAUCCAGCUCUGCAUACAUUAACUUCUGCACA